GUAGGUGGGCAAGCGUUGUCCGGAAUUAUUGGCCGUAAAGCGCGCGCAGGCGGUCCUUUAAGUCUGAUGUGAAAGCCCGCGGCUCAACCGUGGAGGGUCAUUGGAAACUGGGGGACUUGAGUACAGAAGAGGAAAGCGGAAUUCCAAGUGUAGCGGUGAAAUGCGUAGAGAUUUGGAGGAACACCAGUGGCGAAGGCGGCUUUCUGGUCUGUAACUGACGCCGAGGCGCGAAAGCGUGGGGAGCAAACAGGAUUAGAUACCCUGGUAGUCCACGCCGUAAACGAUGAGUGCUAAGUGUUAGGGGGUUUCCGCCCCUUAGUGCUGCAGCUAACGCAUUAAGCACUCCGCCUGGGGAGUACGGCCGCAAGGCUG
rnacentral:rRNA from 1 species